CAGGAUACUGCCAUUUUAGGAGCUGCGCUGAACUUCAGUUUCUGUUGCUAGCAGCAGCUGUAGCAGUUAUUUUUACUUUGGAUGAGUUCCCUACAAGAGUUCACCAUUCAGCUGUACAAACAGCUACAUGGCAGAACAGAGAGAACAGAGCGGGAGUUCAGCGCUUUGAAACAAUGAGAGCACCAGCGUGGACUGUUUAAGAUUUGCUUACAAUUGACCAUUAAUGAGGGGCAGAAUCAGUUUGGCUGAAGUUUCACAGACAAAAAGCGUCAGAGCAGGAGACUCCCAGCUUCUGACUCCAGCUCUACUGAACAGAUCGUAUUAAAGGAAUCACAGUCAAGUCAUAAACACAAGAAGACAGAACAAAAUUAAAUUUUAAUCUUUAUGUAAAAAAGGAU
rnacentral:lncRNA from 1 species